rnacentral:rRNA from 1 species
CAAUAGCGUAUAUUUAAGUUGUUGCAGUUAAAAAGCUCGUAGUUGGAUUUCGGAUGGGAUUUGCCGGUCCGUCGUUACGAUGUGCACUGGCCAGUCCUAUCUUGUUGUCGGGGACUAGCUCCUUGGAUUCACUUCCUGGGACUAGGAGCUGACGAGGUUACUUUGAGUAAAUUAGAGUGUUCAAAGCAAGCCUACGCUCUGAAUACAUUAGCAUGGAAUAACACGAUAGGACUCUGGCUUAUCUUGUUGGUCUGUGAGACCAGAGUAAUGAUUAAGAGGGACAGUCGGGGACGUUCGUAUUUCAUUGUCAGAGGUGAAAUUCUUGGAUUUAUGAAAGACGAACUUCUGCGAAAGCAUUUGUCAAGGAUGUUUNCAUUAA